rnacentral:lncRNA from 1 species
CAGCAAUUUUGAUAAGCUGGUCAAGAGCAACCCUUUGAUAUGACUCCUCGACAAAUGGGUUCUCCCCCUUCACAAAUCUUCCACCUAUCAUACCAUAGGUCAACCGUGAUUCAGCAAAUUCAAAGCGUUGACGGUUUUCCUUGAAGUGGAGAUCCUUUUUCAGGCCAGUGAAGGUUGAGUUGGACUCGAGCAGCACAAAUUCUGACACAUAUGGGCUAAGCUCAUGCCAACGGAUAUCAAGAAUGUCAAGCUCAUUGCUGAAAAGCACAGCAUCAAAAACACGGCGUGGAGUUUCCCUGACUUUCCAUCCAUGCAACUUGCAUAGGUUUGCCAUCGAGACAUUUUCAUGAUAGUAGUGAGGAAGCACAUUGAAGGGCUUUGGCGGUUUUUCCCAGAUCGGUCGAAGAAAGUAAGUCACCUUCUGGCCAUGAACAUAUAUAAUGAAUAUUAGAGCUGGCACACCAAUCAAGAGGAUCAGAAGUGCCCUCAAAUCAAACCCCCGAAGCGCACACUUCAACCUUGACAUGCUCAGAAUUGCCUUUGAACCAUGCUGCAAAUGAAUUUCAGAAAACAAGUGAGAAAUCAGGCUGUCAACUGAAACCAAAAGAAACCCAUCUUCUUCACAUAAUUAUUUCAACACCAAUCAACUGCACAAAACACAAAUGAAAAUUCAACAGCAUUGGUUCUACCAAACCAGAGGAUCAGGUUAUCAGUACAAAUUGCCAAAAAUUCUAAGUUGUAACAUCCACCGUGAAUCUAGUAGCAGCAAUAACCAAAGGAUAGUAAUUUUUUUUAUUUAACAACAACGUUACAACUACAGGAUCAUAGACAGUAGAAUGUGUGCAUAUUCCCGGUUAAAAACUCAAUGUUCAUAUCCAUGAUAAGCUAAUGCAUAUCCACCCAAAAAGGAAAUCAGCUGAUUGUUUAUGUUCCAUGAAAUUGUUAUCUUUGGCGGCAUGAAUAAUCCCUCGGGAAUUUUGCAAAAAGUAAAAGGCAGAUACUUGUAACAUCCUUAUACAAAGGAAAAGAAAAGAAAGAUUCCAGGAUUAGGCUGGACAACCAAUUCGGCCAGCUCGCGAGAUUCUACCGGCGCCAGAAGCAUCCAAGCUUGAACUUCACCUAAUCCCAUCUCCAGCACAAAUAGCCCCCAACAAAUAGAAGAUUAAAAUAUUCCAAUCAGCAAGCACUUAUGAAUUAUUAUGAUCCCAGAGCAAUAACCAAUAAAAAAUCGAAGCAGCAAGCAAGCAGUUCUGCAUCCCUACUUUUAUUCGAUCCAAACGCAAUAAAAUAGCCAAAAUCGAAGCAUCAAGCAAGCAGUUCUGCAUCCCUACUUUUUAUUCGAUCCAAACGCAAUAGAAUAGCCGAAAAAAAGCAAGGCACCAAGAAGAACGAGGGGUGCUUGGGCUUUUUCCGUGGACCGAGCAAUCCAUCGCGAAAAUCCCAACGCGGCGGGAGAGAAAGGGAUAGAUCUGGGUGGGACGAGAGAGGAAAACAGAAUCUCACCUCGCUGCCGCCGCAGACGCCCCCGCAGAUGCCGCCGUCGUUCUUCUUGCAGUUGUAGUAGCCCGCCGCCUCCAUCGCGUCGGCAAACGCGCGGAGCAGCAAAGGUGGGGACGCGCUGCUCGCCGCCAAUGGCGACGCGUGCGUGCGUGCGCCCGCCCGCCGAUCGGCCGACGCAGCCUAGCCCGGAACACCACCAGCACCGCCGCCGGCGAUCGCAAAGCAGUUCACACGUCCCCCGCGCCUCCGACCCCGGAGAUAGCACUACUCUUCUCGCGUGCGCCGGCGAGGGGUGUCGGGAUUACGGCGGUGAGGGGGGUGGGAAACGGAAAGGGGAGGGGGGAGGUUGAUGUGGUGGUGGUGGUGGGAGAGGAGGAGAUCAUGGGAAGGGGAGGGAGGGUAAUUAUAGCCGUUUGCGCGUGGGCGCGUGGCAUCUGGCGGUGGCCGUCGCGGUGACGAGGGAGGAGAGGAGCCGGGUCGCCUGUUUGUCUCAAUUUUGGAUCCGUGUUUUGUCUUCUUCUUUUAAAUUUAGAAAUUUAAUCGGAUUACGAUUUUGGAAGGAAAAAAAGGGACUACUCGUACAAUAUAUUUUUUUUAAAAAAUAAAAGAAUCUUGUAAAGGUUCAUGUGGCGUAUUGGUAUUGGGUCUAUAUUUUUCAUCUCGGAUUGGGAUUUGGGAAGCCUUUUCAACAACGGAUUGAAGUAUAAUUUAUUAAGUAUUAUAACAUGAACAAAAAAAGGAUUAACAUGUUUUUCUUUCUAAAGCACCUUUUGUUUAUAAUUUUUUUCUCAGAAAAAAACACACUAUUUAGCUGUUCGGGAUGCGGGUGUGUUAGAAACGAGCGAGUAGAAGUUAGAAAUGUGUAGUAUGGAACACCCUAACUCUCAAAUCAGGCAAAUGAGAAUUUAGUCAGCGGAAUUAUGAAAUAAAUUAUGGACUGUUCAGAUUGUAGCCAGAAUAAAUCUUACUAAAUUUUGGCAGUGUCAAAAUUGUGUCAAUUUGGCAAUUUUCUCAAGUUUUUGUAGGAUUUCUUAUGUAUUUAUCAAAGUUUAUAAAAAACUAAAUAGAUGCACAUCUUUGAUAAUUUUACCAAAAAAAAUAGUAUGGUUUGAAAUGGCACCAAUAUGAACAAUCCGUUAGUGCAUGUAGCUCUGCUCUUAUUUAAAUUAACCUGAUUAUGAUAUUAAACGAGAAAAUUAGAAUUUAUUUGAGGGUAUGUGAAUUAGUACUUUUUUACAUGUAGAGCCAAUGACAAGAUCAGGAAAACACGGACGGUAUAAAAAGCUGAAAAGGACACUGCAAAGAUAUGGGGUGUGUUUGGAUGAGCUAUGGCUUUUGAAAAAGUAGCUGUGGCUUUUCGAAAAGCAGUUGUGAAAUAUGUGUUGUGGCUUUUGGAAAAGCUCGUUUAGUUCAAUAGCUGUAGCUUUUGAAAUAAAUAGUCCCACUUACAAGCGAGCCCCACAUGUUAUACACCCAUUGGAAAAGAGGGGAAAAAGAGAGAGAAAAAACAAAGACGCGCGCGGCGUCGGCCUCGGCGGCGGCGGCGGAGGAGGAGGCCUCGGCGGUGGCAGAGGAGGAGGCAUACGCGUGCGGCGGCAGUGGGGAGGCAGACGCGGGAGUUGACCUUGGCGGUGUUGGAGUCGGCCUCGGCGUCGUCGGAGUCCUCGGUGGCGGCGGAGUCGUCCUCGGGCGUCGGCGGAGUCAGCCUCGAUGGCGAGGAGGAGCGGCGGCAGCGGAGGCGGACGUGCGCGGUGGCGGGGCGAGGAGGAGCGGUGGCGGCGACGAAGUGAGUAGGAGGAGGUGCGACGCCCGUGGAAAGCGAUGGGAGAAAAAAAAACAAGCGAACCGUUUUUUUAAUGGCAGAGGUGGGUAAUUUUUUUCUCCCAAAAAUAGGUGAAAGCAGGGGGGUAGAUGUGCUUUUGAUUUGUACUACACCAAAAGCUGGCUUUGGGUAAAAGCAGCCGUAGCUUUUGAACCCUUUGGUUGGCUUUUGGCUUUUCCAAGCAGGUUGAAAAGUCCAACCAAAUACACCCAUAGUAUACCAUUUUUUAAGGAAAAAAAUAUAAAAUGAGAUGCCGGGGUUAAUAUCGAUUUGCGUUAAGACCAUAAUACACACUCAAAUGUAAAAGAGCCAAAUGGAUGAUCCGCCUCUAGAUGGGGAGAUUGGCAAAAUUCAUGAGCAACACUAUUUGUUUUCUUCUAGUUUUGAUGACUCUUUUAACUUUUAUUUGUGAUUAUAGGGAAGAUGAAUAAUGGUUACGAUUGGUUGAGAGGAGGAGUAUAUAAAAAAUAGUUUUGUUUAGAAUAAAAUUAUUGCGCUAGAAACCAAACGUGUUUCUACCCAUAUCUGUGUGUAAGUAUUUCCCAUAUUUUUAUUAUAUGAAAGACAUGUGCACGCAUAUCACUAUAUAUGCACAUCGCACACACUCUCCGUAAAUGUGUCCUUAACACACCCUCAAAUUAAAAUGCACAUGGCAACGACAAAUUCAUAACCUUCAAUUAAUUUCCUUUUUAUCUCUCUCUCAUUAUAUGAUAGGUAAAUCGAUUUUUCAGUGCCAAAUGUGUAUCUUUGGCACGCUGUUAGUUUGAAACUAAGUCGAAACAAAUACACGCUUUCUCAAAUAUCUUUGGCACGAAGGAAAAAAAACCCUGUCCUGGUUGGAUUCGAAUAUUUUUUGCAUGGAUGAUAAUGACGAGGAUCUAGGAUGUAAUAACAAAUCAGGCAUCUCGGCGAGAUGCUUCCUAUAUGCUGAUCCAUGUACUUAGUGCCCUGCACUUUUUUUUUCUCUCUCUCCAUUCAUUCUUUUCAUGACAUGGAAGUAUGGAACUAUGUUAGACUGGGGCUAAAUCAUGGCAGACCAUGUGCAAAUUGCCAACUAGCGUGUGGCCUUUUCUCCAUAUUAAUAACAUAUGCUAACUGCUUGAAUGAAAUAAAGUAAUCCCAAACGUUAAAAGCAGCUGAGCAUGUUAAGGUGUACUACUAAGAUAUAUAAAGUAUUGACAAUCUAGUAAGUUUUCUUCCAAAGAGAAAGAGAAGGUUAUGAACCGAUAAGAAAAACAUACAUUUAGUACGUCCUCCCUCCAUUCUUAUUUCCAUACGAAGUUGGUUAGUUCAAAUUCAAGUAACCAAUGUUACAUAAGAAGAAAAAAAAAAGGGAGCAUAUAACAAAAAUACUGCAACAAUGUGACCAAUUCUCAUCGAGGAAAUAAGCGCGCGCACAUAAUAAUUUUAUUACCUGAUAAUGAAAAGAAAAUCAACUUAGUACUCACAUAAGCUAACAGAACGGCCAUCUCGAAGAAAUAAUAUUAGAUAUUUUCUCCGGUUUUCAAAAGAUAUUGCCGUUAACUUUUAAAAAUAUGUUCGAUCAUUUAUCUUAUUCAAAAGCUAUGAAAACAUGUAAAAAUUAUAAGUCAUGUGAAAGUUACCUUUAGUGAUAAACUAAACCACAACAAAAAUAAAUGAUAAUUAUUAUGUUUUAAUACGACAAGUGUGUACUUAUAAUCCCAUAACUGAUUAAGAAAACCAUUCCAACUGAAUCAUUGAGAAACACAGCAGAAUUGAACAAGUCAUUGCAGCGAGUGACGAGUCGGUCAGCGGAGCAUAUGCAGCAAACACUCGAAACAAUCAGAUUCUGACUGCGCGGCGCGGUUCCUGUGUCCUGUCGUCUCUUCUUCUUUCCCUGAAAACGGAACCCGUCAACACUGCAUCGCUGCUUCUCGUUUUCGUCGAUCGAUAAGCAGCAUAUGCUGUCUUUUCUUUUCUUCUUCGUUCGAGCCAAAGCCCAAAUUAAGGCAAAUUAUCAAAGUGCAGAGUUUGUAAGUGUCAGCGUUGUACUGUGUAAUUCUAAGAAGAAAACAGAGUCAUGUGCCGCGUUGUGUUUUCAUUUUUCUUAUUCUUCCUUGUAUCGACUGCUCGUCGAUACUACGUACUUCUCCUUGGUGGAGCUUUAGCUAAACUGGGGCUUUUAACUAUUUGCCACUCUUACGGAUGUUGCUUAACGAUUUGCCACUAGGCCCACAUGUCAUAGACACAUGAGGGCCCACAUGUCAUUGACAGGGUGUGGCAAAUCGUUAAUUGCCAUGUCACAAGAGUGGCAAAUAGUUAAAUUUCCCAGCUAAACUGUACCACGGUACAGCUCACAUGAGUAAUGGUUUUUGAGUUUCUCGUAAUGUAUAAUUCUACGGUCGUCGCGAAGUCAUGUUUGAUAUAUCUGCUUUUGAGAUUUUCUUGAGUAAAGUAUAAGUUGUGCCAAACGACAGAAUGAUGCAGUAAUUGUCGAGUAUUUUCUAUAAACUUGUUCAGAUUGUAGCUAAAAUAAACUUUACUAAAUUUUGGCAUGAUUUCUUAUGUACUUCCUCCAUUUCACAAUGUAAGUCAUUUUAGUAUUUUCCACAUUCAUUUUGAUGUUAAUGAAUCUAGACAUAUAUAUCUAUCUAGAUUCAUUAACAUUAAUAUGAAUGUGGAAAAUGAUAAAAUGACUCACAUUAUAAAACGGAGGAAGUAUUAAACAAAGUUUGGCAACAAACUAAACAUAGACAUAUUUUUAGCAACUAUGCCAAAAAAAAUGAUAUGGUUGAAAAUUGCAUCAAUCUGAACAGCCCAUAUGUAUAAAAAACUUAACCUAGCAGGGGUCUACAACGAAUCUAGAUAUGACCCUGCUAGGUUGAGUUUUUUGAAAUGGAGUGAGUAGGUUUUUAAGAAUGAGCUAAAGCAGGUACUACUCAACACUAGAUUUUUCUAUAAAGUAGUAUAUUCUACACAGCCAUACCUAUAUAAGAUGGUUGCAGCAAAACGCACACACGAUAUCAAAAAUAUAAAUGACAGGAGAAAUUAUUCCUUACUCUCUUCAUCCUAAAAUAUAAAACUUAGAAUCGGAUGAAACAUUUUCUAGUAGCCUGUUCAGAUUCAUAGUACUAAAAAAUAUCAUAUCCGAUUUUUUUAAUAAAUCAUAUCCGAUUUUAAGUUCUUAUAUUUUGGGACUAGGGAAUACUCCUCUCUCUCCAAAGAAUAUUUGGAAUGAGCUUCAGUCGGUGGUGAACCAGUGAUUGGUACAUGAACCAAAGGAGCUAGCCGUUGCCUCCGGAUUAAGAUAAUCUGCACUAAGGCAGAGAGCUCAUAUGCUAACAAUAGUCUACUACAGUAACUACAAAAUGGUACUGUAGCAAAACUCCUGUAGUAACAGUGAGCCCUUAGGUUUAAUAUUGAGCCUCUCCUGUACAUAGCACGCUACAAUAGCGAUGUAAUAUGAACCGUUAGAUUACUGUUCCUUAUCUGUGUUAGGCUAUUCCCAACUCAAGACUCUAGACAUAGUUUUUAUAAACUCCACAUCAUCAAGAAACUAGUACUAGACACUACUCUUCCAAUACAAACACCACUAUUCCAUACUUAAAUUUAAUGCUACUUAUCUCACAUGAUGUUUUGGAUAUUGUGUAGAAAUCAAGUCUCAUGCAAGACAUGGUUUCCUUCUAUUUUCUCAUUUAUUCGCUUGCCACAUCAUUUUUUAUUUUAGGUGACAUCUUAUUUAAUGCUAUAGACACCAUCUCAGUCAUUGGGUUAGGAAUGGCCUUAGUACCUCUAAGAGCAAGUCUAAUAGUACAGUCCACUACUAGCUCCAAUUCAUCUAUAGUCAAUCUAAUAGCCAAUUAUACAAUAGUUCUUAUUACAUUAUUAAUAUAUGGUCACGCCUAUCAUACACACAGUGUGUCUUAGAAUCCGUGCUGCAGCUGGCUACAGAUCUGUAGCCCCUGCUUUUCUCUCUCAUCGUUUAUCUCAUUAAAAUAUGUUUAUAGCUGGCUAAUAGUCUGCUAUUAUACCUUCUCUAAUGGAGACAAUCUGAAUUCUACCCACAUGGGCAUGUACCCCGGGCCACAUGGAGUAUUAUGUGGGUAUUGGCAAGUGCCCAAGCACACUGCAUUUUGAUUCGGCAAGUGACGACUUGAGUGUUUAUUCCUCCCAACAUCUUAAAAAAAAUCUAAAAUUAAAUGUGAUAUAACGAAUAUGGAUAGAAACCUGUCUAAAUUCGUUACGAAUCCGAACAGACUCCUGUCCAGAUUUAUUAUAUUAGGAUAUACCACUUUUAAUUAUAGGUUUAUUUUUGGGACGGAAGAAGUAUGAUUUAGAUGCAAAAAGGUAUUGAGCCGUUGCUGGGGUCACCGUGAUUUCGUCGUCAUUGAAUGAUGGGUACUUAGACGUAGCCAUGUGGAUAAUUUAAGAGCGCAUUUUGCAAUAGGAUUCAACUUAUCUGUCUAUUUCCGUACGUGGAUGUGACCUAAGAUAUGGUUUACUUAGUUUGAUGUCGUAACAAUGAAAUUCGGUGGUAUCAAAGCCGGGACAAGUUUUUGCGAUUAUGAAAUUCGUUUUAGUCUUGGUACAGUUAGAAAAUGAUUGUUGUUUUUUUUUUCUUACCAGCCCUAGCGCACUCCGAUAGGAAUUACUACAUCCGUUUCACAAUGUAAAUCAUUCUAUUAUUUUCCACAUUCAUAUUAAUGUUAAUAAAUCUAGAUAUAUAUAUCUAUCUAGAUUUAUUAACAUCAAUAUGAAUGUGGGAAAUGCUAAAAUAAUUUACAGUGUGAAACGAAGGAAGUACCAAAAUAAAAAUAAAAAAUCAUACUAGUACAUUCGAAGGAAACCCGGAAGAACUAUUAAAAAACAAGCUUGCGUUGCUGUUCUUGACUUGGACCAGGCAAGUCGUAGCCUUUUGACGUUUGGUAACGCCGCUGUCUAAGACGACUUAUAAAAAAAUUUAACAUCUGUCGAUGCAUCGCCAUUGGGACGUGCAGACUCGAUCAACACGUACGGGCAGUAUCUAAUUAAGCGCGUCAUUUUCUGCCGUUCGCAGAUACUAUACCGUCUACCGGCCCGGUUGCACUGCCAAAACCGGCGGCAGUACAAAACCCUGCAUUUUCUGUAAUAUUGUUCCGUCUCUCUCAUCGUUCUUGAUAGUAAAAUAAUAAUAAUAAUAAUCUAAAUUAAAAUGUGAUACAAUCUUAAUAUUAUAGAUCUGAACAGAAUGUCUAGAUUUAUACUAUUACGAUGUCACACUCCGUUUUAAGUUUGUUUAUUUUGGAACGGAGGGGAGAAAUUCGAAUGAAAUGUAUACGUUGUUUCGUCUGAAUAUAUCAGAGAAAUGAGUUCUUAGCAAGCAUUUUUUUUAAGCACAGUCCCAGUGCAAAUUCUGAACAUGAACUCUGAAUCUCUGAUAAUGCCGCUGUUGUCUUGAGCCAGAAUAAUUAAGCUAAGAAGAUAAGACAAAUACGGUAUUUAAGGCUUAAUGUCACUGAAAUCUACUCCCUUCGUCCAUCGGUCCAUAUUGUACAUGAAUCUGUCUCGCUGUCAUGAGUUCUUAAUAAAUGCUAAAAAAACGCAUGUUGUUUGUCUGAAACUCUGAAUAUAUCAGAGGAAUGAGUUCUUAACAAUCAUGCUAUUUUCAGUGCAUUCGUUGUGAAAAAUCUAAACAUCUCUGAUGUUUUCUUGAGCUAGAAAGAUACAGUUUUGGUUCUGGCUCUUGACCUGUACUGCGAGCUUGAAAAGUCGGAGGCCAUAUCCAGAUAUAUAUGCCAUUUGUCGCACAGAUUUGAAGAGUAUUUUGUUCCGUUGCUUCUACCUCAGCCGUUAAUCUUAUGUAGAAAGAUAAAGCCAGAGAGAAACACAAGCUACAAAGAUAAGUUGUGUGCGUACAGCUUACCAAAGCAACAAUACAAGGAGCAACAAGAGGAAAGCACAAGAGAAAUCUGUGGACUCUGAACUUUCUGAACUUUUCUGAAGAGAUAGUGGACUCUGAACUUCCUUGAAACUGCUUGAUGGCCUGUAGGCUUAUAGUUAGCCUGUGGAUCGGUGGAUGUUCAGAAAUACAGAAUAAUCAGAGAGGUAACUAGCACUAGUAUAAUUCAACUAGGGCAUCUCUUAGGCAGUGCUUAUGUCCAGGAAAUUAUAUAUCAUGGAACAUUAAGAGAUUAUUGCUGCAGAGUUUUUUUUGUGCCAAAUUGGAAAAGGAGUAGAAUAUGUAAACAUAUGCCUGCCAGCGCCAAAGAUGACUUGGAAGCAAGUCAAUGAGGCUUACUCAUGCAUAGCUUCAACAAGUUCAACAAGAGAGAUACUCCAAAUUCUUGCAUUUUGGCACAAUGGCCGUUGGCUGCUGGGUAUCAGAAAGCAAUCCCAGUGUCAUGUCCAAACUCCAAAUUCUCCAUCAUAAACCUCCAAAUUUCCAAAUCUAGUCAAAAUUCUCCGGUUGUACUGCCAAACCGACAACAGUACAAGCCUGCAUUUUCUGUCAUGCUGAUGUCGUAGGACUAGUCAUACUGUACCUGAAGUCUGCUUCUCUGUCAUCAUUCUGCAUCGUACGAUCCAGUGACAUGUAUACGUUGUUUGUCUGAAUAGUCAUAGAGAAAUCUUGAGAUAACGGUUAUGCAACUGUUUAUUAAUUUUGGAUGAAGAUUCACAAACAGAAUUCAAUAAUUGUAUACUCCUUAUCUUUGGUUGGUAGUUUUUAGUUUGCUUUUUCUUCACGGUUGGUGUCCUCUUUUUUAUGUGUGAACCUUUUUAUUUUUGAGUGUUACGCUGUAAUAAUUGGCUGUAGCUCGUUGAGCAAAGCCAGAAUAUUCUAUUCCAUUAUCUAAAAAAAAGUCAUCAGAGAAAUGAGUUAUUAUAGCAAGCUUUUCUUUUCUUUUAGUAUAGUCCCUGUGGAAAUUCUGAACAAGAACUCUGAAUCUCUGACAAUGGUGAUCUUGAACCAGAAUAAUUAAGGUCAGAAGAUAAGACAAAUAUGGUAUUCAAGGCUUUAUCUGUACAUUUUGGACAUGGCUCUUGACUGGCUCUACGAGCUUGAAAAGUCGGAGCCAUAUCCAGAUAUGCCAUUUGUCGCAGAGCUGGAGAGUACUUUGUUCCGUUGCUUCGAAUUCACCCGUUAAUCUUCUGUAGAUAGAUGAAGCCAGAGAGAGACAGAAGCUACACAAGUUCUGUAAAGCUAAUUAAAAGCCAUUGUGAGGUAUGAGUGCUGAGUACCCAAUACUCAUACACUGGGAGGAACAACCGGACAAGAGCUCUUUAGUGGUGAUCCAGAAAAAGUAUAUCAGGAUCCAAUAAUACUAAUAAUAAUAUAAUUAUCAUGUAUAAGUUUGUAAUUAAUAUAUUAUAGGAUAGAUAGAAAUUGAUAUCUUACCCAGUGUCCGGUACAAUAGGAUAAGUUCCGGUACAAUAGGAUAAGUACAUGAAGGUAUGCCCCUCUCUCAGCACGGUUUUAUUAUCUUGAUGUAAUUAACUGAGUUUAAUUAAAGUUUAUAUCAUCUUUUAAAAACCUAGACUAUGGCUAAAGAGGAAUCUUUGGACUCUGAAAUUUCUUUGAACUGCAUGAUGGCCUGUAGGCUGUAGGAUGUAGUGAGCCUGUGAAUAUUCAGAAAUUCAGAACAAUCAGAGAGGGUAAACUAGUAUUCAACUGUGGCAUCUUUUUUGAACGAACUGGGGCAUCUUUUUUUGUUAGGCAGGGCUUGUGUACACCAGCAAAUUUUAAAUAUGGCUCGGGACAUUAAAAUAUUCUUAUUGCAUUUUUUUGCCGGUUUGGUAAAAAGAGAACAUGUAAAUGUAAAGCAUAUAUGCCCUUCAGUGACUGCCGUACAUGACCUGAAAGCAAGUCAAUGAGGCUUUAUCAACAACUAAGCCUAAGGGACUCACCCACAGUCUUCAACAAGAUAUAUUUACAACCUUAAAUCUUUUCUUGGAAACUAGGCAGAAAUUGAUUAAUCUUUUUAUCAGAAAGAAAACGACCACAAAACUGUCACUCCGUAUGUCUAAAUUCCAAAGUUAUUUAGGAAGAGAGAGAUGCGUUUCAGAUUCAGGGUAUUCUUUUACUUGACCCAUCAGAAUUGAGAUUUUCUUUCUCUUUAAGUGGAGGCAUGGGCGACGCAAAGAUUAAUAGCGACAUUACAUUAGAAGUGGGGAUCUACUCGGCCAUGAUUCUUGGAACCACGAAAUCUUUUUGGGUUUUGUUUGUUUCGUCCUAGUGUGCCUCGACGAUUUUCAAUUGGACGUGGAUGGAUGCUCACUCGAGGUCCCAGACCACUUUCCGGGCAGCCAAUCGUCGACCCUGCGAAAGUCUUCCACUUAGAAUUAUCAGCGAUGCGCUUUGCACUUUUAUGCUCUAAUGUUUGAAUUAUUUAUGGGUAAGCCAUAGAAAAAUGAAGAAAAAUUGAAUGAAACAAUUAAAAGUAAUUUAUCAAUAGGACUUUUAUAUCUACAUGUUACUAGUGGUUUAAAAGGUGCGAGGUGCUAGUGGUGACUUCGUUUCUCAAGAUAUUGCGGCACAGUCUUCCGAAGAUGCUCAUAAGAGAAGAACAUGCAUGUGUGUUCAUAGGAGUAAGUGUGUACGCAUUAUAGACACAUGCGUUUGUACUAUAUUUAAAAAAGGAUAAUGUUAUAAAAUGAUUACGAUGAAAAACUCUGAAAUCAAUUCCAAAAUUAAGUUAAAAAUUUAAAUUUUAGUUACGGUAGAUAAGCUAAGAACCUGACCAUGAGAGACCUCGCCUCAACGCAAUGCAACGUGUAUGAGAGCAAAAGGUAAACCUGCGGAAUUCGUAGCUUGCAAUGUUUUUUCAAAAAAUAUUUGAAAUAAUUUUAACAGAAUAAAAAUCCAUAAAAAAAUAUUUCAUUUUUUUUUAAAAAGGAAUACUUGCUGGAGCUCGUCAGGCAGAUGAACCUGUACAUGAUGUUUGUCAAUCUGGCUGAAGCGGACGUCCGACAAGAACAGCCUGUUCCAACCCACUUCGUCCCACAAAAUGCCGCCUUAACAUGUCGCUUAACGGCACGAACAGACGAACCCUCACAAUAACUAAAAAUAUAUAUAUAAGAGAAUGUGAUAGUUUACCCAACUGAACCUGCCAGCCAAGCAGCUCAUUAACCAUUACCAAGAGGAUAAAAUGAUAAAAGGCAGUGAAAACACUGCAUUUCUUGCCAACCUGCAACGACUCUGGUUGUUUGCUCUGGUUGUUUGCAAACAGUUAGCUGAGACCAAACACCAACUGCAUUAUACAUGUGCUUUCUGUAGUGUACAGCAAAUAUAUCAAAUGACAGGAGGAUGAUUAUUGCCCGGAGAAUCAAUGCAGGGUAACUCGUCUGGUAAGUAAAUGAUACUGUACAGAACAAGAUAAAAAAAAAUUCUGGAUGUCAUCCAGUUCACAAUCUACAAGAGUUUCUGAGUUCAUAUAUCAACCAUGGAAGUAAUGGGUAAAACUCAGGAGGUAAAAGCACACACACUGCUGAGCUCCUCUAAAAAAACAAGAACGCAGCGCCCAAGCAUGCGCUAUGCUGUCAGGCCUUCUUCCAAUGUUUGGCUACACCAGUACAAAAUCAUGAACUCACCCAAAUCGCCAAGCGAUCGCUCAACUAAGUCAGCCAAAUUGUAUCAGGUACAACCAAUAUCUCGCAUGUUGUUCUCCAAAGGGGCAUCAUCCACGAUCCCCAUGCGCAUCAGGUUAUGCAAGCUGCAAGUGCCUAGCCACUCUCUCUCAUGCAUCGCCCUGGAAGAAGAUAACUGUACUGAUCUACUUUCUCUAGCAAAUAAGCAGGAAGAUGAACGGCAGAAAAUGUGCUUGGGAUUGGACCCAGCUUGGCAAUGAUUUCUUGGAAUGUGUAUUCUUCAGGAAGCAUGUCGAAAAGAUCGGCUCCUCGGCAUAUCACAUGCUGAAUUCUUUUGGGGUUCAGGAAGUACUUAAAUCUAAUCCGAUCAACAUGGCUAUAAGCUUGCAUUUUGAAGACAAAAUCACUAAUGUAGCGAAAACAAAAGCUGCAGUGCCAUCCUGAAUCAGCCAGAAGGUCAUCUGUUUGCCGGAAAUGUGCAUACCUCGUCUUUCCAGCCCGGUAUCUGUGAAUUGAAGCCCUCCAACUUUUGUCAUCAAGGAAAAAUUCAAAUGAGUACAGAUAGUUCCUGAGCUGGAGAUGGAGUACUUCAGGUAUGUCAUCACACCAUCUCAAGAGGUUGAUCGUAUGCCCACUUGGAAUCUCAUCAACAUCAGACAUGAUCAACAGGUCAUCAUCUGUGAUCCCGGCAAUUUUAAUAAGCUGGUCAAGAGCAACCCUCUGAUAUGACUCCUCGACAAAUGGGUUCUCCCCCUUCACAAACCGACCACCUAUCAUACCAUAGGUCAACCGUGAUUCAGCAAAUUCAAAACGUUGACGGUUUUCCUUGAAGUGGAGAUCCUUUUUAAGGCCAGUGAAGGUUGAGUUGGACUCAAGCAACACAAACUCUGACACAUAAGGGCUAAGCUCAUGCCAACGGAUAUCAAGAAUAUCAAGCUCGUUGCUGAAAAGCACAGCAUCAAAAACACGCCGCGGCGUUUCCCUGACUUUCCAUCC